rfam:Oryza sativa (indica cultivar-group) chromosome 9, whole genome shotgun sequence.
UUUAAGCGCAACCAUGAGUUUUCUUGUCUAAUUCUAAUCGUCCGUCUUAUUUGAAAUAUUUUUUAUUUGUAUUUUUAUUGUUAUUAGAUGAUAAAAUAUGAAUAAUACUUUAUACGUGACUUAUGUUUUUAAAUUUUUUAACAAAAUUUUAAAUAAGACGGACGAUUAAAAUUGGACACGGAAACUCAUGGCUGCGAUUAAA